rnacentral:rRNA from 1 species
ACUUUCAACAACGGAUCUCUUGGUUCUCGCAUCGAUGAAGAACGUAGCGAAGUGCGAUAUGUAGUGUGAAUUGCAGAAUUCCGUGAAUCAUCGAAUUUUUGAACGCAAAUUGCACUCUCUUCGGAGAGUAUGCCUGUUUGAGGGUCAGCC